rnacentral:rRNA from 1 species
GACGAACCGUGCAAACGUUGUUCGGAAUCACUGGGCUUAAAGGGCGCGUAGGCGGGUCACCAAGUCUGUGGUGAAAGCCUCCAGCUUAACUGGAGAAGUGCCGUGGAUACUGGUGGUCUCGAGGGAGGUAGGGGCAUGUGGAACUUCCGGUGGAGCGGUGAAAUGCGUAGAUAUCGGAAGGAACGCCGGUGGCGAAAGCGACGUGCUGGACCUCUUCUGACGCUGAGGCGCGAAAGCUAGGGGAGCGAAUGGG